rnacentral:rRNA from 1 species
AAAACGGAAACGACCCCGGCAACCGAUAUCUCGGCUCUCGCAUCGAU